CAUAGUCCCGCCCUCCUCUUCAAAGCACUGGUUCCUGCUUGCCUGUGUUUUUAUUUCUGGCAUAAAAGUGAAGAGAUCGUCAACAACAAGCGGUUUACCUUCAGCAAACAUGAGGAUUAAAGGAUUCCUGACAGAAACUCAACAACAACCAACUUCAUCUGAUCCAGGCAGCAAAAUCAGGUGGUCAGCGAGUAAUGAUCAUUUCAGUGCCGUGGUGAUCACGGGUUCAGGUUUUGGACCAGGAACGGCGCUGAUGAGGUGCGGAGAGACGCAGAAGCAGCUUGGAGAAACGGAGAGGAAGUUUGUGCAAAGCACCAACAUUCAUUUCCUCACUCCACUGCGCAGUUUCACUGAGGGGGGGUACAGAGCCAUACAGACCAGCAGAGCAGUCGAGGACUUGGGGCGUGGGGCUCGGCCAGCUGCUGCUUUCCAUGACAAAGCAGGACACUGAGACUUUCUACGAGAAGCUGAAGCUGUGAGGACCAAGCAAGUGGUCCCUCUGUCUGCUGCGGAACCUUCCAGAGAGGAUACCAAUACAUCGCUCGGGGUGUGCUUAGAAUCUGUCGUCUUUUAUCAGUUUUGUUUUUGAUUUUUAAAAAGAAAAAAUGUCCAUCUGUGUGUUCAGGCUGCACAUGCUGAGUGAGCUGGAGCACACGUUUACUGAGCUGCAGACGCAUCCACUCCAAGUCCAAUUCUGAAGUGGGGAAGAUUACAAUGUAAGCAGGAUCUGUAAUUGGCUAAAAGAAAAAUAAAUAGAGUAGCAUAAACAAUUUGUGGAACACGUAUUUUAGCUGAAAUUAAGCCCACUGGUCAUCAUCGUUAAAUAUUAUACAUUUUUAAAACUUGUUUUACAUGAAUAAUUGUGUAUUCAUUUGUUUUCAAUAAUUGUUCCUAGUUUCUGCUUGAACACUAAUCAGACUACAGGAAUGUACAGCUGGGAGAUACGGCCAAGAAAUCUAAUCUCUGAUUUUUCAUUACAAAUUUGAUUUUCAAUUGUAAUCAUUUUUUUCCUCCAUCCUUUUACUUUCUUUAACAAAGGUUACAAACGACAGAAUAUUUUUAACAAAAAUCAUUUUAUUUUCAUGUCGUUUAGACAUUUGCUUGAAGAUGAAGUGUAACUAAAUAGAGACUGUAAAAUUCUUUAUAGAACAAUGCAGCAGAUGUUUUAUGAGCUAAUUUAAGCAUCUAAUAAAGAAAAACAAUACAAUCAUUCAGCAGAACACUUUUGGUAGUAACAGCCUUCAAACUGAUUUUGCUGCAUGUAGUUUAAUGUUCCAAGUUUGGAGCCACAAUCUAUCUAAUUCCUGACUCACCAGCCAAGUUGGCUAGAAGAUAAACAAAAGAUCUAAACAUUUUUUUUACUUGACAAAUUAUUACAUUAUUUUAAAAGUGAUACAUUUUUAUAUGAAAUCAUGCAGAACAAGCGUUCUCUCUCUGACUUUACGCCAAACUACAGAAGCCCAGGAGAACAGAGAGCUGGGGGGAAAAAUAUUGAUUUUCCUAAAUGUCAAAAAUUCAAAUGAAUCAAUGACAUGGAUAUAUCACCCAGUCCUACAAGAAUGUAACAAACCCUUUCUAUACUUUUCCCUUUACAGGUAGGCUGAUGAUGAAGAUGACAUUAUUGCUGGAGGAGAAUGCAUCAUUAAAGCGCUGUGCAUCUGGACGAGGACCCUGUAAAUAUCUAUGAGGUAAGUACAAAAAUAAGUCUUAAAGGGGGUCAUUUUUGGUUACUUGAAAUGUUUGCGUUUUUAAAAAAAGUAAAAAUCUUAAAAGAAAGAUGUCUGUUG
rnacentral:lncRNA from 1 species